rnacentral:lncRNA from 1 species
GCAAUAACUAAGUUGUCUUUUCUUUGCUACUUGGAAUCAGAUGCAUGAUUGGAUUGUGCAUUCUACCAAAGGUGCAUAAUGGAGCAUAUUUACACUGUCUGGAUUAAGAGAAAUAGUAGAAUAUUUGAGAAGAAGGAGAGAAAUUGGACUGUUUUGGGCAGAGAAAUAGCUUGUAUCUGUAGUAUUAGAGCCAUCACUUGUAGAUUGAGAUUUUGAGAGAAGAAGAAGAUAAAAUGGCAUAGAUACACUGAUAACACAAAGAAGAAGAAGAAGA